rnacentral:hammerhead_ribozyme from 1 species
GUCCUGACGAGUCCAUAAUAGAACGAAAUGCGCAUCCUGGAU